rnacentral:lncRNA from 1 species
GUGUGUGUGUAUGUGUGUGCGUGUCGACGUCCAGGAGAAAGAAGAACAAGGGUUCAGACCCUAGAUCAUGAAGAGCUUUAAUUGAAGGAAAAUUUGGAGCUUAAACAUAUGAUUGAACACGAAUUAAUGAUCACCCACGCACGGGGAUCAUGAGUGUAGGAGCCAUGUCAACAUGGAUACGAGCAUGGAAGGGCAAUGGGUCAAUGGUAAAUAAGGAAGCUAUGCACAAACUUGGACGCACGAGGUAAGUGACUUCCGACUCACUUAUUAGUAUGUGUAGGGGAUUAUUUAAUAAUUACGAAUGCGAGGAAAUCUUGUUUGAUUAAGUAGUAAUUGUAACUACUAAGGUAGGAAUGAUCAAUGGGGCUGAAAGUAGUUUGUUACGUCGGAACUAAAAUGGUGAAAUUAAACGGGUCGAAUAAUGGUAUGAAAGAUUUAUAAGUCUUUUCUUAUAAUUCAGUUUUUGAUGUCAGUUAGGAUGGUAAACGGAUCCGUAAUUAAAAUACAGACGCGUAGAAACAAGAAUUACUCAAAACGGACAUCUAGGUCAUAAGUUAUGUAAGUUUUAAGUUGAGAAUUGGUUAGAAUGCACAGCUGGGCAAAAAGUGCAGCAGCAAAAGGAAUGCUUCUGUCGAAAAGGGGCUGUCGCGCUACGCGAUAGCAAACCAACUUUACCGCCGCGCCCCGCGACCACUGUCGCGCCCCGCGACCGCCCGGGGUUGUAUCUGUCGCGCCCGCGAGAGCCAGUAAGCUGGCAAAACUUGUUUUUCUAGUUCAUUUCAGCACCCGGACUCGAUUGUAAACGCGUAUAUGAUUGUGAAUGAAUUCCUUAAAUAGUGGUUUUGUUAUAAAUGAAUGUUAUUGCUCUCCGGAUAGUAAAAGUAUGGGAUUACUCUCGUGUAAGUGAAGGAAAUUUAUAAGUAAACGUAUCUAGAAACAAGUAAGUGUGUAUGUCGAUAUGUAUAAUGCCUAUAUUAAGUAAAGUUACAAUUUUGACAUGAUAACAUAAGAGUAUGUGUGUAAAAGUAGUAAGCAAGAGCCCGUAACCGUGUAUGCACUCAUAUAGGUAAAUAAGAUUGUAUGGUCGUAUGUAGUAAUGUAUGUAUGUACGAAGGUGGGUUGUUAUGAAUGCACGUAGGAGUUGGGAAUAUAUACGUUUGUGAAUGCGAGAUGUUAUAAAUGUAUGAAGGAAUGGUUUCCUUAUGUUUGGGCAUUAACGAUUGCUAAUUGUAUGCUUUGAGAUUGAAAUGUAAUGCAGGUAUAAGAGCAUCGGGUUCAUGAGGUAUCAAAGUCGAACUCAGAACAAGAGAAUACGAAAGGAUAGUUGAAUGAAUCAAGUUUCUAUUGUUUAAUGUUAUUCAAUAUUAGACUAUAUGAGAAUCAUGUCGUAUGAUGUUGUUAACGGUUAAUGGUUAAGUUGUAUGUGAUGUCCACAGGUAUUAUACGGAUUUCUUCUAUCACAAACGAAGAGAAGCAGACAUGGAUCGAGUCGAGAGCAAGGAUUGUACGGAAAGAACAGUCACUUAGCUUUAUUUAUGUAACGCCUUAAAGUGUUAAUUAGAAGUGAAUUUUGUAUAUUUCUUUUAGUUAAUGCUUGACAUUUCGUAACUGAGCCUUUAUAUAAGCAAUGUGUCUAAUAAAGAAAGAAAUU